AUAUAUGCUUACCAUUAUUUAGCUCAAUCUAUUUAUCACUUCAAGGAUUUUUAAAAAUAGUUUUUAAGAACUGUACCUAUACUUUAUUAUGGCCAAUGCUCAAAAAAUUAUUGAGUUGGCAGCAAUGCCACCAGGUCACUGGAAUGCAGAGGAAGGCAUCUGUUUGACAUGGUGCUGACUAUUGGCAAAAAAGGGCUUCUGAACAUAUCGAUCAGCCAAAGGGGUAGCCUGUUGCUUAAAGGGCAGUUACAGCUGCUUAUGGAUGAGUCUACUGUUACAAAACCAGCAAACAAAGGGAAAAACUGGUUCAGAGAAGCUGCUUCAGGAAUAUACAGCUUGCACAAGUUCUCUCCACAAGCCACCAGUUAGUUGGAAAUAUGAUGGGUACCCAUCCUAAUAACAUAGCAAGUUCCCCUCCAAUGAUGUGGCUGGCAGGCUCAUGCCGGCCGGACGGCGGGCAGCCUGCUAUCCAUACUCAAAAAGGUGAUUCUCUCUAGUAGACUUUAAGAAAGGGUCAGACUACUGUUUUCUCAGAUUAGAAUCAUGAGCUGCCAACUGGUAGUCUAAUCAAAUCCAGCUCACUGACAUGAUCAUUUGGCCAGGCCUAGUGACACUCUGGUGGUGUCUCAGAGGUUACUCUGGAGAGCCACUCAUACCUUUGAGAAUGUUCAGAUCUUUUCAUCAAAGCGGCUCUACUUUGAUCAGUUGGGCUUCCGUAAAAUUUGGGGAAAAAAGGGUUCCAUUUUCUAAAAAUGAAAUGUUCUCAAAAAUUUGAAGAUUAUUGAAUGACCAGGCCAAUGAGGUUUGUUUCUCCAACAUCAUAAUGUUUAGUACUUGUAGACACUUAUAUUUCUAUUGACAACAUACUGGAGUUACUAAGUACCACCUUAUAGCUAGGGAAAAUCUUUCCAUAUUUGUCAAUGCCAGAACCUCUUACAUAAUCUUUAAUACUAUUUAAUGUUUCCCUUCUCACAAAGCCUCUCCUGACCUUUUUAACUGCUAGGGUCCUUCUCUCAUCUUCUCUACUGUUAUCUGGGAUCAUAAUUUUAUUUCCCUAUGUUAGGUGAUAUUUUAUUUUAAAAUACUGAUGACCUUGACUGUGAGUGCCCAAGGGCAGGGACCAAGUUGGCUACUUUUAUGUGUCUUUUUUGUUGCCUGGCACAGGGUUUUGGACACAGAGCAUGCUAAAAUACAAUUUUAAAAGACUGAAUCUUCCCUCUACCAGAAGAUCCACUGCAGCAAAAUUCUUGGUGACUUCUCUCAGCUUAUGUGAAGUAAAAAAUUCCAUAGACAGAAGUAUAAUUAACUUUCAAUUAUUUAUUUAUUUGAGACAGGAUCUCACUCUGUCACCCAGACUAGAGUGCAGUGACACGAUCUCAGCUCAAUGCAGCCUCGACCUCAAGGGUUCCAGCAAUCCUCCCACCUCAACCUCCCAAAUAGCUGGGACCACAGGUGUGCGCCACCACACCCUGCUAAUUUUUUGUAUUUUUUUUUUUUUGUAGAGACAGGGUUUCAGGUUUUGAAGAAUGAGCAGAAGCUCUGCGUCAGAUGAAGAAGAGACAGGAGGCCCUCCAAGCAAAGGAACCACUCAUGUCAAGACAUGGGGCAAAAAGAGAGGAUGUAUUUGGAGAACAGAGAGUAACCGAAGGCUAUCAUUCAAUCAGUGAUAGUCUUCAUGGAGGUUAAUAUCAAAGGCAACCUGAAUUUCCUCAGACUUCAUGAGCUGGCGGUGAAGGGUGAGAUCACACAAGCAGUAAUAACCCAGCUCUCCCUGGCUCACUGCCUUACUUACUGGCCUUCUGGUACUCAGCAAAGCUGUCCCCAUGAGUUUGGGAGUCUCCAUUCCUGUCCUUCCACUCCCCUCAAACGUCUUUCAUUCAAGGUCACGUGGUAACUUGACUCCUCUCACCACUACUUCUGUGGGAAUGCAGAGGCCAGGCCAGAGCCUGUGGGUGCUGCCCUCCCCAGAGACUUCACUAUGCCCAGCUCCAGGGAGGACUGACUGGAGGAGGGGACCAGGCAUCUCCCCUGCACUCUGGGCCCACAGCAACCCUGUAUACCAGCCCGUAUUAACCUUGCAACGCCUUCCUCCAAAAGCAGGUUAAAAUUAAGCUCGGCAGGCUCGACGUAAAUGUGCAGACAAAGCAAAGCAGGAAGCCUCCCACACUAAAAAGGGAAGAUAAGAAUCACAGAAGCUGGGAUGGUUUUUAUUGAAGGGCAUUUCAAAGCAAAUACAGACAUCUACAGCAUAUUUGUAAAUCCUCCGUAUGUGUAUGGAAACACACACCUUCACACAUCAAAACUGGAUUUGUUCCUGAGUAACAAAACGUCCUAAGAACAAAAUGAAAGAAAACCAAAUAGCAGAAAAAUACUUCCAAUGUAUAUACCACAAAGGAUUAUUUAUCAACUCAACACACCAAGAGUUAAGAAAAUAAUGCAACAGGAACAAAGGGCAAAGGAUAUGUACUGGGAAGACCACAGAGAAAGAAAAUGCAAAUGGCUAAUAAUAUAAAAUAUUUCCUAGGUUCAAUAGUAAUCAGGGAAAGACUGGUUUGUAUGAUAUUUUCACUUCCGUGAAUUUACUGAACCUCUGUUCACCUCCCUCUAUACUCCUUCAUUCUCUCUUUAAAAUGCACAGUCACUUCUGUACAAAUUGAAGUUGUUCAGUUCACACUGAAUAGUUCUCUAUAGCAAUAGUCUAUCACUCAUUAAAAUCUCUCCUUGCCACUUUAGUUUCCAGCUUUAUCUUUGACACCCUCACUAUACUGCAGUCUCUAUGAGCUGGAUUUUUGUUUUCUCACUGGCACAUAAUAGAGACUCAGUAAAUACUUGCUGAACCUUGUUGAUGGGUCAAGAGUGGUGCAUGGGUUUUAGCCCCUCAGCCACACUUCUGGGCUGGGAUAAGCAUGUUUAAGCAUCUGGAUGAAACAUCAUUGCUCAUUUCACUCCUUAAAUACCUGGCAAGUGACAGGCAGCUGGACUUGAUAUUUAGGCUACUUGAAGAUGGCCACAGAUGCUGGUCCGGGGCUGUUUUGGCAAGCCACACAUGACCUUGCUCUAGGUGCUGCCUCUGUGUGUGCCCAGAGCUUCUGGAGAAGGGCUGGAAAUUGGGCUACUAUAGUGUUAGGCCAAGGAAUGUUUUUACAAGGCGUGUAACCCUCUUAUUGUGCCUCUGAGAUAAUUCAGAGAUCCCAGCACAGUCAUCUUGCUGAUUCUCAGAUCCAUCCUGCAUGGCUUACAGAGGCUGCAGAGGCUGUGGGGCAUGCUGGAGAAAUACUCUGUGUGUCAGUGAAGGACCUGCUCAUUCUUUUUCUCUCUGACUCUAAGAGCAGGGAGCUCCUGAUCACAUUUAGUCUGCUCUUAAAGGGAUCCGAGGCUCAGUUCUGAAAAUGAAAUCAGGUACAUGAAAGAUGUUCACUCUUCUACAUCUGUGCCAGCAUCCUGCGGCACAUGGGACAACUGAGCUGAAAGGUUUCACUUCCUAGCAUCCGUUAAGAGGACACAGAAAAGACAAAGAGUCCUCAGAAGUAAAAUAAUUUUAUAAAUUGGAGCCCAUGGUUCACAUGAUGUACACUUUGCACACUCACAUUUUAAAUGUCUUUGCUGUCCUUUUUCGGCAUACAGGCCAUAAUUUCCAUCCAUGAAAAUGAA
rnacentral:lncRNA from 1 species